ensembl:misc_RNA Metazoa_SRP Metazoan signal recognition particle RNA
GCUGGGUACGGUGGUGCAUGCCUGUAGUCCCAGCUACUCAGGAGAGGCUGAGGUGGGAGGAUCACUUGAGCCCAGGAGUUCUGGGCUGUAGUGCGCUAUGCCGAUCGGGUGUCUGCACUAAGUUCUGCAUCGAUAUGGUGCCUCCUGGGAGCGGGGGACCACCAGGUUGCCUAAGGAGGGAUGAACUGGCCCAGGUCGGAAAUGGAGCAGGUCAAAACUCCCGUGCUGAUCAGUAGUGGGAUCACACCUCUGAAUAGCCACUGCACUCCAGCCUGGGCAACAUAGUGAGACCUUGUCUCAA